UACGAAGGGUGCAAGCGUUAAUCGGAAUUACUGGGCGUAAAGCGCGCGUAGGUGGUUCGUUAAGUUGGAUGUGAAAUCCCCGGGCUCAACCUGGGAACUGCAUCCAAAACUGGCGAGCUAGAGUAUGGUAGAGGGUGGUGGAAUUUCCUGUGUAGCGGUGAAAUGCGUAGAUAUAGGAAGGAACACCAGUGGCGAAGGCGACCACCUGGACUGAUACUGACACUGAGGUGCGAAAGCGUGGGGAGCAAACAGG
rnacentral:rRNA from 1 species